rnacentral:pre_miRNA from 1 species
CAUGCACCGGUGGGGUCCCUCAGCCUGGCCUGCACCCUCUUGCAAUCUAGGAUCCCUCGGGGGAUGUCGGAGAGCCUGUUUCAGCCUGAUCCCACAGGCCAGGCUGAGGGACCCCACUGGUGCAUG